GUCGCCCAGAUCAAGGCUCCCGUAGCCUCGUUGGUGGGCCUCGCUCCAGAAGAUGAGGUCGUGCUCCUGCAGGCUGGCCCCCAGAGGAUGAGGCUACCCUGGGCCAGCGGCUGACCACUCUGGAAGUAGCCGGCUGCAUGCUUGGAGUCUAGACAUAAAGAAUACCACUCCCACUGAAGUGAGAACGAAAAUUUGGAUCAUCCCGGAUCAGAACACAACCAGCCUCUCAUUCUGCAGCCCUGCUCUCAUCCCUGACGUGAGAACCUGGUUCAUUCCCGCCACGUGCCUCAGUUUCCAUUUUCUGCACUGCAGAGGAGAGCAACCAAAGAAGCGGGACAAUUGAACAGGAGGAAGAGGCAGGAAGAUGAGGGACAGGGCGGCGUAUUCCACCGGGAGCAAAGCACAAUGACUUCAGCAAUGGCAGGACCGAGAGAAGGGUCUGCCUUCUCCACGCGGCCACCUCAGGAGAUCCAGAUAAGAGGAUGCUUUUCACAUCAGCCCGGUGUGUGGGUCUGCAGUUUAUCCAGAGAACAGUUGUGUCUGAACAGUGGCAUCAAGGCCGCCUAUGAAUCAUUAUGAAUGACUCAAAGAUAAUAUCAAGUUAUUUGAAGAUUCCAGGAAAAAGUCUUAAUUUAGAAGAAUCUAGUUAAUUUGGGAAAGACUAAAGGAAGAUGUGGUGGCUGUCUUCAAAUGCUUAAGAUCUUUCCUGGGUUGCUCCACAGCCAGGACCAAUGGAUAGAAGUUACAGGCUGAUUUUAGCUCAAAUAAGAAAGAAUUUAUGAGUUGCCUCAGGAGAUGAUGAGCUCCCCAGCACUGGAAGUAUACAAGCAGAUGGACAGCCAUCUGCCAGGGCUGCCAUAGAAGGUAUUCCAGCAUCGGAUUAGGAGGGUGAAUGAGGUACUCACCAUCUCUAAAUUCUUGGAUUCUCAGUCUGUCUCCUUGGCCCAAGGCUAAAAGGAAAUUUCAGUCUUUGGAGAAAUGUAACACUUAUUGUUGAAGGUAAAAACGUGCCUUCUGUAUUUGGGCCUUUCUCUUUAGAUGCAUGAACACUGUUCUCUAAGCAGUGAAGGUACUGAAUACUAGGCAAUGCAAUAAUUACUGAAGUGCUCUACUGACAAAAGUAAUAUUAUUGACACACUCAAGUGUUACUAGGUAAAUAGCAUUAACGGC
rnacentral:lncRNA from 1 species